UGACAAUAUAUUUAUGACACGGGACUCGUGACAAUAUUUUUAUAACAUGUGACAGGUUACAGGGUACACGUGACAAUAUAUUUAAGACACGUGACAGGUUACAGGGAACACGUGACAGAUGACAGGUGAUGCGUGACAGUUGACUGGUUACUGUAACUCGUAAUUCACGUGACAGGAUACUAGCGAUAUACGUGACAAGUUCUAAUUGACACGUGACAGGUUACAGGUGUCACGCGGCAAAUAACAGGUGAAGCAGGACAUAUGUGACAGGUAACAGGGGACAUGCGAUACGUGACAGGUAACAGAUAAGUGACACUUGACAGGUUAUUCCAAAUUUCAUCGAGAUUCAGCAGUUUAGGCUAAAAAAUCUAACAAAUAUACAACUAAAUUUUCGCAUUUAUAAUAUUAGUAUUCAUUCCAGGUAUAUGGAGAGAGCUGAAGAAAUCAAAAGAUAUCUGAAAGGAGACCAUCAAGUACAGCGCACGGAGGACCAGCAGAGAUACGUGCACGGUGAAGUAGAGGUCGCCCAAACUGUACAAGAUACUGCAGCUUGCGUGCAAGAUGCGGUAAAACAACCAGAUGACCUCGAACAGAACAAAAAUGAGGUGAUAUUCUGAUGAUGGA